GGCAAAAAGGCCAGUUACCUCUGGCCUCUGCAGUUUGGCUCAUCACCAAGGAACAUUUGCCUCCUCCAAGACCAAAGCAUCACUCCAACAACAGUCAGAAAGAGCUUUCAGGAGGCUUUUAGGUCACCUCCAGUUUAUCCAGGCCUUCUCAAUGGAACUGUUACCCAAUGAGCAUAAUGAUAGAGAAAGGCACCAGUCCAGUUCUGUCUUGCCACCUUGAAUACAAACUCCAUUAAUCAGCUUUCUUGGCUAGCCUCAACCCACAGCUCCAAGGACUUAGCCAUGGUGCCUGUGAACUCCUAUAUGGGAAGCUCUGAAAAGCUCAGAAAACUUUCCUAACAAUUCUGCCAGGAAUCCACUGAAGCUUGGAACUCCAAGAAAUGCCAAAGCUAUAGCACUAAGGCCUGAGGAUCCCUAGGGCCACAUCUCCCAGGAAGACCGUGCCUCCUCACUGAAGCCCCUGACCUGGCUUCCUGCAGUGCCACACUCCGUGUAUUUGACAAGCUGAGUUGGACACUCCAUGUGGUAGAGUGUCAGUUUGUCAAAUACCCCAAGUGCGGCAUAUGCCUAACAACUCCAGGCAGGGCAGUUGGGAUACAACAAAUAAAUUGCCAGCUGAAUACAGUAUCACUCUCCAAACAUGAACUAAGCUCAUAAGUUGUUUUCAGUGACUUGAGGGAACCUAAGCAUUGCAUCUGAGGGAGCCAGGGGAAAAGUGAAGAAACUCUUGAAGCUACAGCUCUGGAUUGUUUCUACACACAUUGUCAGAGCCCAAGCGGGAUAUAAUGGUCUUGAAAAGGUAUAUGGAAUCCAGGGAUGGAAGUGCUCUUUGAUUCA